rnacentral:rRNA from 1 species
UUGGAGGGCAAGUCUGGUGCCAGCAGCCGCGGUAAUUCCAGCUCCAAUAGCGUAUGUUAAAGUUGUUGCAGUUAAAAAGCUCGUAGUUGAACUUCGGGGUCUACCCAUUGGUCAGGCUUAAUUGUCUGUACUGGUGAGAUGGAUCUCUACCUUCUGAGGAACUUUCAUGCCAUUUAUUUGGUGUGAUUGGAAAUCAGGACUGUUACUUUGAAAAAAUUAGAGUGUUUAAAGCAGACUAUCGUCUGAAUACAUUAGCAUGGAAUAAUGAAAUAGGACGGACAGAUUCUAUUUCGUUGGUUUCUAGGAUCACCGUAAUGAUUAAUAGGGAUAGUUGGGGGCAUUAGUAUUCAAUUGUCAGAGGUGAAAUUCUUGGAUUUAUUGAAGACUAACUACUGCGAAAGCAUUUGCCAAGGAUGUUUUCAUUAAUCAAGAACGAAAGUUAGGGGAUCGAAGACGAUCAGAUACCGUCGUAGUCUUAACCAUAAACUAUGCCGACUAGGGAUCGGACGAAGUUAAUUUUAUAAUGACGCGUUCGGCGCCUUACGGGAAAC